GACGAACGCUGGCGGCGUGCCUAAUACAUGCAAGUAGAACGCACAGUUUAUACCGUAGCUUGCUACACCAUAAACUGUGAGUUGCGAACGGGUGAGUAACGCGUAGGUAACCUGCCUGGUAGCGGGGGAUAACUAUUGGAAACGAUAGCUAAUACCGCAUAAUAUUAAUUAUUGCAUGAUAAUUGAUUGAAAGAUGCAAUUGCAUCACUACCAGAUGGACCUGCGUUGUAUUAGCUAGUAGGUGGGGUAACGGCUCACCUAGGCGACGAUACAUAGCCGACCUGAGAGGGUGAUCGGCCACACUGGGACUGAGACACGGCCCAGACUCCUACGGGAGGCAGCAGUAGGGAAUCUUCGGCAAUGGACGAAAGUCUGACCGAGCAACGCCGCGUGAGUGAAGAAGGUUUUCGGAUCGUAAAGCUCUGUUGUAAGAGAAGAACGGGUGUGAGAGUGGAAAGUUCACACUGUGACGGUAUCUUACCAGAAAGGGACGGCUAACUACGUG
rnacentral:rRNA from 1 species